rnacentral:rRNA from 1 species
AGAGUUUGAUCCUGGCUCAGGACGAACGCUGGCGGCGUGCUUAACACAUGCAAGUCGAGCGGUAAGUCCCCUUCGGGGGUACACGAGCGGCGAACGGGUGAGUAACACGUGAGUAACCUGCCCCUGACUCUGGGAUAAGCCUGGGAAACUGGGUCUAAUACCGGAUAUGACCUCGUGCCGCAUGGUGUGGGGUGGAAAGGUGUUUUUCCGGUCAGGGAUGGGCUCGCGGCCUAUCAGCUUGUUGGUGGGGUAACGGCCUACCAAGGCGAUGACGGGUAGCCGGCCUGAGAGGGCGACCGGCCACACUGGGGCUGAGACACGGCCCAGACUCCUGCGGGAGGCAGCAGUGGGGAAUAUUGCGCAAUGGGCGGAAGCCUGACGCAGCGACGCCGCGUGGGGGAUGAAGGCCUUCGGGUUGUAAACCUCUUUUACCACUCACGAAGGCCCCUGGUUUUCUGGGGGUUGACGGUAGGUGGUGAAUAAGGACCGGCUAACUACGUGCCAGCAGCCGCGGUAAUACGUAGGGUCCGAGCGUUGUCCGGAAUUAUUGGGCGUAAAGAGCUCGUAGGCGGCCUGUCGCGUCUGCUGUGAAAGUCCGGGGCUUAACUCCGGGUGUGCAGUGGAUACGGGCAGGCUUGAGGUAGGUAGGGGAGACUGGAAUUCCUGGUGUAGCGGUGAAAUGCGCAGAUAUCAGGAGGAACACCGGUGGCGAAGGCGGGUCUCUGGGCCUUACCUGACGCUGAGGAGCGAAAGCGUGGGGAGCGAACAGGAUUAGAUACCCUGGUAGUCCACGCCGUAAACGUUGGGCGCUAGGUGUGGGGACUUUCCACGGUUUCCGUGCCGUAGCUAACGCAUUAAGCGCCCCGCCUGGGGAGUACGGCCGCAAGGCUAAAACUCAAAGGAAUUGACGG